rnacentral:lncRNA from 1 species
CAAACUCCCCUGUUGCUAAUGACACGGCUAUGGCUGAAUCUGACCCCAUGCCUGUUACGACUAACUUUGCCACUGUUGAGUCUUCUGACUCAGAAGCAAACAACAUUGCUAGGGAAAAUUUAGGUCCUAUGCUUGGUCCCUCCAUGUCCGAGAUAUUCAAAGAUGCACAACACUUAUCGCAACAGGGGCGCCUUGAUGCAGCUGAUGAACGUAGGAAGUGUCUUACCUUAAUGGACUUAAUUAAAGCCCAAGGUUUUUCGCUUCAGAAUGUAAAUGAUUUCGCUAACAAAGGAAA